rnacentral:rRNA from 1 species
AUACGGAAGGUCCGGGCGUUAUCCGGAUUUAUUGGGUUUAAAGGGAGCGCAGGCGGAGAUGCAAGCGUGACGUCAAAUUUCGGGGCUCAACCCCGUCUCGCGUCGCGAACUGCGUCCCUUGGUUGCGGGAAGGGGAGGCGGAACUCGUGGUGUAGCGGUGAAAUGCAUAGAUAUCACGAAGAACUCCGAUCGCGAAGGCAGCCUUCCGGCCCGUCAACGACGCUCAUGCUCGAAGGUGCGGGUAUCAAACAGGAUUAGAUACCCUGGUAGUCCGCACAGUAAACGAUGGACACCCGCGGUUUGGCCUGUAUGGCUGAGCCGCCAAGCGAAAGCGUUAAGUGUCCCACCUGGGGAGUACGCCGGCAACGGUGAGACUCAAAGGAAUUGACGGGG